rnacentral:rRNA from 1 species
AUUGAACGCUGGCGGCAUGCCUAACACAUGCAAGUCGAACGAGUGGCGGACGGGUGAGUAAUGUCUGGGAAACUGCCUGAUGGAGGGGGAUACAUACUGGAAACGGUAGCUAAUACCGCAUACCAUCAUAUGUGCCCAGAUGGGAGUAGUUAGUAGGUGGGGUAACGGCUCACCUAGGCGACGAACCCUAGCGGGUCUGAGAGGAUGACAAGCCACACGGGAACUGAGACACGGCCCAGACUCCUACGGGAGGCAGCAGUGGGGAAUAUUGCACAAUGGGCGAAAGCCGGAUGCAGCCAUGCCGCGUGUAUGAAGAAGGCCUUAGGGUUGUAAAGUACUUUCAGCGGGGAGGCGUUACCCGCAGAAGAAGCACCGGCUAACUCCGUGCCAGCAGCCGCGGUAAUAC